CUUGGCUUUUAGUCCUUCUCCUAACUUUUCUUCUCCAUGGUUCACUAAUAUUUUCUCUUUAAGUAGUAGUAGUAGUACUAGUAGUGAAAGUGGCAGUGGAAGUGAUACUUUUUCUGAUGCAUCUUAUAGAUCUCAUUUCUCUUCUUUUUACUCUUACUUUUUCCCUAAUUCUUCACAGAAAGUUCAAAAUUAUACUAACCCUAAUCCCAAAAUGGAGUCUUGAAUAAACCCUUGAAAGAUUCUGUGAAUAUGUCAGAAGUGGCACUCAUUACAAAGAGUUUUAACAACAAUUUUGCAAACAAUCUAAAAUCUUUUAAUUAACCAUAAAUUCGUCAAGCCAAGCAAAAUCAAUAGUACCAUUAGUCAUCCAAAAACCACUCUGAAAUCAACCAAAAACCGCAAAAUAUACUAAGCAAACCAAUACUUGUCUAACAUUAAGCUCAUCUAUGCAAACAAAUGAACUACAAAACAAACACUGAAUAGCCAACGUAAAAUGGUAGAAGGAAAAAGUAAAGCACAAAGUAGACUUGGCAGAGAGGGAAGGUGAGUUAGCAGUAGUUCUGGCACAAGCGUAGCUGAUCUGAUUAACAAUUUGCUUCCCCAAGUUCACGAGUCCAUGGCUCUGCAAAUUGGCGGCCAUACAAUAUACACUUUAAACAAGUCAACAAGACAGUAUAGCAUAUCCAGAACAAAAAAAUAUUGAUUUGUUGAACCUCUUUUAUUCUUUCACUGUGGAUAAUCAACUUCAUUGGCUUUCUGUUGAAAUAUUAUCAUUGGCUUAGUAAAGGCUAGCAACAACUUUAUACCAUUCACGACCAGUAGUAUACCAUCUUACAACUCUCAAACAAGGUCACUCAUACAAGAAGAACCAAGAUCGACUAGAACUUCCACAAAAACAGAACCAUCCAAUUUGUAAAUACACUAGAUAAACCUAGCUAUUGACUUACUAAUGGAAAACAAUAUCUGAAAACUAAGAUAUAACUUAGUCGAGUCCUGUAACAGAGAACAAUAAUCAUUUAGGACAAUUUCUACUUUUAAGCUAUCCAACUCAUUUUACUCCAGCUUCGGUACAUAUAAAAACCAGUCAAAUAAAUUCAUAAAUGGCAUAACGAAGGAAUGAAACGACGCUAAGAACAAAAAUAAUUUUCUUAUCAACCCAAAAUUUCAAUUAAAAGGAUUCAAUAUAUGAAGAAAAAUUAGUUGUAGAGGGAUCAACACUUACUAUAUACAUAAAAAUAAUUUUAAUCAUAUGUAAAUAGUAUAUUUUUUCAUCAAAAGAGGUUUCGAUAUAGAAGAAAGACAACAAAUCUCCAACUUGCCAUCGCCGUCACCACCAACUCGCCGUCGUCGUCACCACCAAGUCGCCGUCACCGUCGCCUUCAAACCGUCAAGUUGCGGUAUUCUUUGUCUGAGAUUGUGAACUAGGGUUUUGAUUACAUAUUUUUGAGAGAGAACUAGGGUUGAGAGAGAGAGACGGCAGUUAGAGAAAUGGAAAAGU
rnacentral:lncRNA from 1 species